rnacentral:rRNA from 1 species
UGCUGGAGGUAUCAGAAGUGCGAAUGCUGACAUAAGUAACGAUAAAGCGGGUGAAAAGCCCGCUCGCCGGAAGACCAAGGGUUCCUGUCCAACGUUAAUCGGGGCAGGGUGAGUCGACCCCUAAGGCGAGGCCGAAAGGCGUAGUCGAUGGGAAACAGGUUAAUAUUCCUGUACUUGGUGUUACUGCGAAGGGGGGACGGAGAAGGCUAUGUUGGCCGGGCGACGGUUGUCCCGGUUUAAGCGUGUAGGCUGGUUUUCCAGGCAAAUCCGGAAAAUCAAGGCUGAGGCGUGAUGACGAGGCACUACGGUGCUGAAGCAACAAAUGCCCUGCUUCCAGGAAAAGCCUCUAAGCAUCAGGUAACAUCAAAUCGUACCCCAAACCGACACAGGUGGUCAGGUAGAGAAUACCAAGGCGCUUGAGAGAACUCGGGUGAAGGAACUAGGCAAAAUGGUGCCGUAACUUCGGGAGAAGGCACGCUGAUAUGUAGGUGAAGUCCCUCGCGGAUGGAGCUGAAAUCAGUCGAAGAUACCAGCUGGCUGCAACUGUUUAUUAAAAACACAGCACUGUGCAAACACGAAAGUGGACGUAUACGGUGUGACGCCUGCCCGGUGCCGGAAGGUUAAUUGAUGGGGUUAGCCGCAAGGCGAAGCUCUUGAUCGAAGCCCCGGUAAACGGCGGCCGUAACUAUAACGGUCCUAAGGUAGCGAAAUUCCUUGUCGGGUAAGUUCCGACCUGCACGAAUGGCGUAAUGAUGGCCAGGCUGUCUCCACCCGAGACUCAGUGAAAUUGAACUCGCUGUGAAGAUGCAGUGUACCCGCGGCAAGACGGAAAGACCCCGUGAACCUUUACUAUAGCUUGACACUGAACAUUGAGCCUUGAUGUGUAGGAUAGGUGGGAGGCUUUGAAGUGUGGACGCCAGUCUGCAUGGAGCCGACCUUGAAAUACCACCCUUUAAUGUUUGAUGUUCUAACGUUGACCCGUGAUCCGGGUUGCGGACAGUGUCUGGUGGGUAGUUUGACUGGGGCGGUCUCCUCCUAAAGAGUAACGGAGGAGCACGAAGGUUGGCUAAUCCUGGUCGGACAUCAGGAGGUUAGUGCAAUGGCAUAAGCCAGCUUGACUGCGAGCGUGACGGCGCGAGCAGGUGCGAAAGCAGGUCAUAGUGAUCCGGUGGUUCUGAAUGGAAGGGCCAUCGCUCAACGGAUAAAAGGUACUCCGGGGAUAACAGGCUGAUACCGCCCAAGAGUUCAUAUCGACGGCGGUGUUUGGCACCUCGAUGUCGGCUCAUCACAUCCUGGGGCUGAAGUAGGUCCCAAGGGUAUGGCUGUUCGCCAUUUAAAGUGGUACGCGAGCUGGGUUUAGAACGUCGUGAGACAGUUCGGUCCCUAUCUGCCGUGGGCGCUGGAGAACUGAGGGGGGCUGCUCCUAGUACGAGAGGACCGGAGUGGACGCAUCACUGGUGUUCGGGUUGUCAUGCCAAUGGCACUGCCCGGUAGCUAAAUGCGGAAGAGAUAAGUGCUGAAAGCAUCUAAGCACGAAACUUGCCCCGAGAUGAGUUCUCCCUGACUCCUUGAGAGUCCUGAAGGAACGUUGAAGACGACGACGUUGAUAGGCCGGGUGUGUAAGCGCAGCGAUGCGUUGAGCUAACCGGUACUAAUGAACCGUGAGGCUUAACC